UGGGGAAUAUUGGGGCAAUGGGGGGCGGCAAGCCUGACCCAGCAACGCCGCGUGAAGGAAGAAGGCUUUCGGGUUGUAAACUUCUUUGUCAGGGACGAGAAGAAGACGGUACCUGACGAAUAAGCCACGGCUAACUACGUGCCAGCAGCCGCGGUAAUACGUAGGUGGCAAGCGUUGUCCGGAUUUACUGGGUGUAAAGGGCGUGUAGCCGGGUCGGCAAGUCAGAUGUGAAAUCCACGGGCUUAACUCGUGAACUGCGUAGAGAUCGGGAGGAACACCAGUGGCGAAGGCGGCUUACUGGACUGUAACUGACGCUGAGGCGCGAAAGUGU
rnacentral:rRNA from 1 species